rnacentral:lncRNA from 1 species
UUGAGGGUCAGUAAUACAUAUCAGUAAGUACCUCCUGGUCUCAAAGGAGAGAGAAAACCAGCAGGUCAGCACAUCCUUACUGUAUUCCUGACCAAGUUUGUCUUCCAGCUGGUGAAAUCUCAAGGCAUAGACACAGAAAGAAAUGAUUUCCUAGAAGUUUGCUGCAGACUUCCUCUGUGUCUCAUUGAAUUAUGCUGUUCGAAAGGAUUCUUGCUGUGUUCUUUGACUGCAGCCCUCAGAUAUGAGUGAGGAGAGAGUGACAUGCACAGAGACAAAAUUCCCCUUUUCAAAAUGAAAGAACGGAAGACGUUCAGCUCACAAAAGUAAAGAAACCCUGGAAUCUGGAUAACCUGUUGUGUAAUUUACGCUAGAAUAACCUUUUAUAAAGUGUUUUAAGCACUAUUUAUCUGACAAUUAUAAGACAAGACUCAGAAAAAAAUGGAUCAAUGAAACAGAAAAUGUCCCAAAUGAGAUGGUCAAAAUAAUCUAUGACUUGGAAAAUAAAAG